AGAGUUUGAUCCUGGCUCAGGACGAACGCUGGCGGCGUGCUUAACACAUGCAAGUCGAGCGGUAAGGCCUUUCGGGGUACACGAGCGGCGAACGGGUGAGUAACACGUGGGUGAUCUGCCCUGCACUUCGGGAUAAGCCUGGGAAACUGGGUCUAAUACCGGAUAUGACCUCCUAUCGCAUGGUGGGUGGUGGAAAGAUUUAUCGGUGCAGGAUGGGCCCGCGGCCUAUCAGCUUGUUGGUGGGGUAAUGGCCUACCAAGGCGACGACGGGUAGCCGACCUGAGAGGGUGACCGGCCACACUGGGACUGAGACACGGCCCAGACUCCUACGGGAGGCAGCAGUGGGGAAUAUUGCACAAUGGGCGAAAGCCUGAUGCAGCGACGCCGCGUGAGGGAUGACGGCCUUCGGGUUGUAAACCUCUUUCAGCAGGGACGAAGCGCAA
rnacentral:rRNA from 2 species